rnacentral:tRNA from 1 species
GGCUUUAGUACAGCUCAGUUGGCUAGAGCCUUCCCCUUGCCGGUGUGGGUUCGAAUCCCACUGAGGCCA